AUUGAACGCUGGCGGUAUGCCUUACACAUGCAAGUCGAACGGUAGAGGGGCAACCCUUGAGAGUGGCGAACGGGUGAGUAAUACAUCGGAACGUGCCCAGUCGUGGGGGAUAACGUAGCGAAAGCUACGCUAAUACCGCAUACGACCCGAGGGUGAAAGCGGGGGACUCGCAAGGGCCUCGCGCGAUUGGAGCGGCCGAUGGCAGAUUAGGGAGUUGGUGGGGUAAAGGCCCACCAAGCCUGCGAUCUGUAGCUGGUCUGAGAGGACGACCAGCCACACUGGGAAUGAGACACGGCCCAGACUCAUACGGGAGGCAGCAGUGGGGAAUUUUGGACAAUGGGCGAAAGCCUGAUCCAGCCAUACCGCGUGCGGGAAGAAGGCCUUCGGGUUGUAAACCGCUUUUGUCAGGGAAGAAAUCUUCUGGGUUAAUACCUCGGGAGGAUGACGGUACCUGAAGAAUAAGCACCGGCUAACUACGUGCCAGCCGCCGCCGUAAUAC
rnacentral:rRNA from 1 species